rnacentral:rRNA from 1 species
CUGGCGACCGGCGCACGGGUGAGUAACACGUAUCCAACCUGCCGAUGACUCGGGGAUAGCCUUUCGAAAGAAAGAUUAAUACCCGAUGGUAUAUCUGAAAGGCAUCUUUCAGCUAUUAAAGAAUUUCGGUCAUUGAUGGGGAUGCGUUCCAUUAGGUUGUUGGCGGGGUAACGGCCCACCAAGCCAUCGAUGGAUAGGGGUUCUGAGAGGAAGGUCCCCCACAUUGGAACUGAGACACGGUCCAAACUCCUACGGGAGGCAGCAGUGAGGAAUAUUGGUCAAUGGACGAGAGUCUGAACCAGCCAAGUAGCGUGAAGGAUGACUGCCCUAUGGGUUGUAAACUUCUUUUAUACGGGAAUAAAGUUAGGCACGUGUGCCUUUUUGUAUGUACCGUAUGAAUAAGGAUCGGCUAACUCCGUGCCAGCAGCCGCGGUAAUACGGAGGAUCCGAGCGUUAUCCGGAUUUAUUGGGUUUAAAGGGAGCGUAGGCGGAUGCUUAAGUCAGUUGUGAAAGUUUGCGGCUCAACCGUAAAAUUGCAGUUGAUACUGGGUGUCUUGAGUACAGUAGAGGCAGGCGGAAUUCGUGGUGUAGCGGUGAAAUGCUUAGAUAUCACGAAGAACUCCGAUUGCGAAGGCAGCUUGCUGGACUGUAACUGACGCUGAUGCUCGAAAGUGUGGGUAUCAAACAGGAUUAGAUACCCUGGUAGUCCACACAGUAAACGAUGAAUACUCGCUGUUUGCGAUAUACAGUAAGCGGCCAAGCGAAAGCGUUAAGUAUUCCA